rnacentral:tRNA from 1 species
GGGGUUGUGGCUCAGCGGUAGAGCACUCGCCUAGCACAUGAGAGGCCCUGGGUUCGAUCCUCAGCACCACA